UGAAAUCCACAGGCAGAUAGCCGGGGGCAUACCCUGGGCCUGGUAGUUAAAGAUCAACCCCUGACCUAACUGCUUGUGUUAUCUAUAGAUUCCAGACAUUGUACGGGAAAGCAUUGUGAAAAUCCCUGUCCUGUUAUGUUCCGUUCUGAUACCGGUGCAUGCAGCCCCCAGUCACGUACCCCUGCUUGCUCAAUGGGUCACAACCCUCUCACGCAGACCCCCUUAGUUGUAAAGGGACAGGAAUUGUUCACUCGGGGAGCUCGGUUUUGUAAGUCUGCCGAUGCUCCUGGCAGAAUAAAGCCCUUUCCUUCCUCAACUCGGUGUCUGAGGGGUUUUGUCUGCAGCUAGUCCUGCUACAUUUCUUGGUUCCCUGACCUGGAAGCGAGGUGAUUACCGGGCGGUGGAGGCAACUGCUUAGGAGGCUUAGGCCUGCCUUGUGGAACAUCCCUGCGGGGGACUCCUGCCGGCUUUAGUGAAUCCUGAGAGUGCUUUCAGCUGGGUAAUUGCCCUGGUGGAACGCCUCGCCAGAGCAGCGCACGGUAGGCCCCCGCGGAGGAUUAACGCAGCGGCUGAACAGCGGGAAGGAAUCGGCGCUUGGAGUCCAGACAUCUGGAACACGCUCUUGAACAUCAGAUUCCAGGUUCUGCAGCCUUUGGACUCUUGGACUUAGACCAGUGGUUUGCCGGGGGAUCUCAGAUCUUCAGCCACAUACUGAAGUCUGCACUGUUGGCUUCCCUACUUUUGAGGCUUUGGAACUCUGACUGAGCAACUACUGGCUUCGUUGCUCCUCAGCUUGCAGGUGGCCUAUCGUGGGACUUCACCUUGUGAUCACGAGCAAAUGAGUGAUGCCAACAGGAAAUGACGUGGAAAGAGAUGACUUCUUUGGAGCAGCCAUGAUGGAGUUAGAAAGGAGUUGGAGGAUGAGCAGGGCCUGGGAGUCCCUCAUCGCUCAGACUGUACUGAUACAGGAGUCUCUCAGAAAGACAACAUUUUCUCCUCCUAAAG
rnacentral:lncRNA from 10 species